ACUCAUCAACUUGUAAGAGAGCUGGGGUUCUCCUAGAUCCAUGCUCGCACUGAGGGAAAACCCAGUCUCUCUCGGCGCUGAGGAGAAAACAUGGCACAGCCCUUCUCAGUCCUCUAGCAACCCUGGACUCUGCAGGAGAAAAGAGAGAUUCCCUACAUUUGUUUCUAUGAGAGAAGGGAAGGCUGGAGCAGGGGAGUGGGGGAAAUCUCUGCAGUCCUCUCGGAAAGCAAACCCUUCUACACCUGUGAUCCCAUGUGAUUUAGCAGAGCCCUGAGUUAAAACUAGGCCAUGAUGACACUUGGUGACACAAACAUCUGACAAAAGAGCUGUACCCUUUAUAUUUUCAAAGACUUUCUACAAAUUAAGGAAGGCAGAAGACCCAUUUAAUGGGCAAUGGACUUGAAGAGACACUUUACCAAGAAUAUCCAAAUGGCCACAAACACACACACAUACACACAAAUGGGAAUGUGUUCAACUUCAUUAGUCAUUAUGGAAAUUAAACCACAAGGAAGCACCAGAACACUGCAGCAGAAGAACUAAAAUGGAAAAGACGAACAACCAACUAUCUGCAAGAAUAUGGGGCAAAUGAAGCUUCCUCACAUUGCUGGCAGGAUGGUAAACUGGUAAGCUGCUUUGAGAAAUGGUUUGUCAGUAACUACGAAAGCCUAAGGUACGUAUACCAUCACUCAGCGAUUCCACUGCUAGGCAGACAUCUGAGGGAAAAAACUUCCUGUGUGCUCCAAAAGACAUGGACAGAAAUGUUCAUGGUAGCUUCAUUCAUAGUAUCCCAAAACUAGAAACAUAAAAUGUUCAUGAAGGGAGGGAUGAAACAAUAAGUUGUAAUACAUUCAUGCGAUAAAU
rnacentral:lncRNA from 1 species